rnacentral:rRNA from 1 species
GGAUUCCCCUAGUAACUGCGAGUGAAGCGGGAAAAGCUCAAAUUUAAAAUCUGGCAGUCUCUGGCUGUCCGAGUUGUAAUCUAGAGAAGUAAUGCCCGUGCUGGACCGUGUAUAAGUCUCCUGGGAUGGGGCGUCAUAGAGGGUGAGAAUCCCGUCUUUGACACGGACUACCAGUGCAUUGUGGUAUGCUCUCAAAGAGUCGAGUUGUUUGGGAAUGCAGCUCAAAAUGGGUGGUAAAUUCCAUCUAAAGCUAAAUAUUGGCGAGAGACCGAUAGCGAACAAGUACCGUGAGGGAAAGAUGAAAAGAACUUUGGAAAGAGAGUUAAACAGUACGUGAAAUUGCUGAAAGGGAAACGCUUGAAGUCAGUCGCGUUGGCCGGGAAUCAGCCUUGCUUUUUGCUUGGUGUACUUUCUGGUUGAUGGGUCAGCAUCAAUUUUGACCACUGGAAAAAGGCCUGGGGAAUGUGGCAGCUUCGGCUGUGUUAUAGCCUCUAGUCGCAUACAGUGGUUGGGAUUGAGGAACUCAGCACGCCGCAAGGCCGGGUUUCGACCACGUUCGUGCUUAGGAUGCUGGCAUAAUGGCUUUAAGCGACCCGUCUUGAAACACGGACCAAGGAGUCUAACAUGCCUGCGAGUAUUUGGGUGGAAAACUCAAGUGCGUAAUGAAAGUGAAAGUUGAGAUCCCUGUCGUGGGGAGCAUCGACGCCCGGACCAGAACUUUUGGGACGGAUCCGCGGUGGAGCAUGUAUGUUGGGACCCGAAAGAUGGUGAACUAUGCCUGAAUAGGGUGAAGCCAGAGGAAACUCUGGUGGAGGCUCGUAGCGAUUCUGACGUGCAAAUCGAUCGUCAAAUUUGGGUAUAGGGGCGAAAGACUAAUCGAUCCAUGCAAGGCC